rnacentral:rRNA from 1 species
AGAACGAACGCUGGCGGCAGGCUUAACACAUGCAAGUCGAACGGUUGUAGCAAUACAGCAGUGGCAGACGGGUGAAUAACACGUGGGAACCUUCCUCGUAGUACGGAACAACUCAGGGAAACUUGAGCUAAUACCGUAUACGUCCGAGAGGAGAAAGAUUUAUCGCUAUGAGACGGGCCCGCGUCCGAUUAGCUAGUUGGUGGGGUAACGGCCUACCAAGGCAACGAUCGGUAGCUGAUCUGAGAGGAUGAUCAGCCACACUGGGACUGAGACACGGCCCAGACUCCUACGGGAGGCAGCAGUGGGGAAUCUUGGACAAUGGGCGCAAGGCCUGAUCCAGCCAUGCCGCGUGAGUGAAGAAGGCCUUAGGGUUGUAAAGCUCUUUUGGCAGGGACGAUAAUGACGGUACCUGCAGAAUAAGCCCGGCAAACUUCGUGCCAGCAGCCGC